UACGGAGGGUGCAAGCGUUAUCCGGAUUCACUGGGUUUAAAGGGUGCGUAGGUGGGUUGGUAAGUCAGUGGUGAAAUCUCCGAGCUUAACUUGGAAACUGCCAUUGAUACUAUCAGUCUUGAAUAUUGUGGAGGUUAGCGGAAUAUGUCAUGUAGCGGUGAAAUGCUUAGAUAUGACAUAGAACACCAAUUGCGAAGGCAGCUGGCUACGCAUAUAUUGACACUGAGGCACGAAAGCGUGGGGAGCAAACAGG
rnacentral:rRNA from 1 species